rnacentral:rRNA from 1 species
ACGAACGCUGGCGGCGUGCUUAACACAUGCAAGUCGAACGGUGAAGCUCCAGCUUGCUGGAGUGGAUCAGUGGCGAACGGGUGAGUAACACGUGAGCAACCUGCCCCUGACUCUGGAAUAAGCGCUGGAAACGGCGUCUAAUACUGGAUACGAGAAGGGUCCGCAUGGGCACUUUCUGGAAAGUUUUUCGGUUGGGGAUGGGCUCGCGGCCUAUCAGCUUGUUGGUGAGGUAAUGGCUCGCCAAGGCGACGACGGGUAGCCGGCCUGAGAGGGCGACCGGCCACACUGGGACUGAGACACGGCCCAGACUCCUACGGGAGGCAGCAGUGGGGAAUAUUGCACAAUGGGCGAAAGCCUGAUGCAGCGACGCCGCGUGAGGGAUGACGGCCUUCGGGUUGUAAACCUCUUUCAGCAGGGAAGAAGCGAAAGUGACGGUACCUGCAGAAGAAGCACCGGCUAACUACGUG